UACGUAGGGUGCAAGCGUUGUCCGGAAUUAUUGGGCGUAAAGAGCUCGUAGGCGGUCUGUCGCGUCUGCUGUGAAAACCUAGGGCUUAACUCUGGGCGUGCAGUGGGUACGGGCAGGCUAGAGUGCAGUAGGGGAGACUGGAAUUCCUGGUGUAGCGGUGAAAUGCGCAGAUAUCAGGAGGAACACCGGUGGCGAAGGCGGGUCUCUGGGCCGUAACUGACGCUGAGGAGCGAAAGCAUGGGGAGCGAACAGG
rnacentral:rRNA from 1 species